CCUACGGGAGGCAGCAGUAAGGAAUAUUGGUCAAUGGGCGCAAGCCUGAACCAGCCAUGCCGCGUGCAGGAAGACGGCCCUAUGGGUUGUAAACUGCUUUUGAACAAGAGAAAACCUCGGUACGUGUACCGAGCUGAUAGUAUUGUUAGAAUAAGCAUCGGCUAACUUCGUGCCAGCAGCCGCGGUAAGACGAAGGAUGCAAGCGUUAUCCGGAUUCAUUGGGUUUAAAGGGUGCGUAGGCGGCCUGAUAAGUCAGUGGUGAAAUCUCUCAGCUUAACUGAGAAACUGCCAUUGAUACUGUCGGGCUUGAGUACAGAUGAUGUGGGCGGAAUAUGACAUGUAGUGGUGAAAUACUUAGAUAUGUCAUAGAACACCGAUUGCGAAGGCAGCUCACAAAACUGUAACUGACGCUGAGGCACGAAAGUGCGGGGAUCAAACAGGAUUAGAUACCCUGGUAGUCCGCACCGUAAACGAUGAUUACUCGUUGUUGGCAAUAUGACCGUCAGCGACCAAGCGAAAGCGAUAAGUAAUCCCNCCGNGGAGACGCCGCGACGACGAACGACAAGAGAGUUAGAGCGNGAGAGNGCGACGGACGACGACGAGGGAGGAGG
rnacentral:rRNA from 1 species